CUGGAGGUAUCAGAAGUGCGAAUGCUGACAUAAGUAACGAUAAAGCGGGUGAAAAGCCCGCUCGCCGGAAGACCAAGGGUUCCUGUCCAACGUUAAUCGGGGCAGGGUGAGUCGACCCCUAAGGCGAGGCCGAAAGGCGUAGUCGAUGGGAAACGGGUUAAUAUUCCCGUACUUGGUGUUACUGCGAAGGGGGGACGGAGAAGGCUAUGUUGGCCGGGCGACGGUUGUCCCGGUUUAAGCGUGUAGGUGUGUGUUCCAGGUAAAUCCGGUUCACUUUAACACUGAGGCGUGACGACGAGGCACUACGGUGCUGAAGCAACAAAUGCCCUGCUUCCAGGAAAAGCCUCUAAGCAUCAGGUAACAUCAAAUCGUACCCCAAACCGACACAGGUGGUCAGGUAGAGAAUACCAAGGCGCUUGAGAGA
rnacentral:rRNA from 1 species